GACAGAGGGUGCAAACGUUGCUCGGAAUCACUGGGCGUAAAGGGCGUGUAGGCGGGAAGGAAAGUCAGAUGUGAAAUCCCUGGGCUCAACCCAGGAACUGCAUUUGAAACUCCCUUUCUUGAGUGUCGGAGAGGAAAGCGGAAUUCCUGGUGUAGAGGUGAAAUUCGUAGAUAUCAGGAGGAACACCGAUGGCGAAGGCGGCUUUCUGGGACGGUACUGACGCUGAGACGCGAAAGCGUGGGGAGCGAACAGG
rnacentral:rRNA from 1 species